rnacentral:rRNA from 1 species
UACGGAGGGGGUUAGCGUUGUUCGGAAUGACUGGGCGUAAAGCGCGCGUAGGCGGAUCAUCAAGUCGGGGGUGAAAUCCCGGGGCUCAACCCCGGAAUGGCCUUCAAGACUGCUGGUCUUGAGUUCGAGAGAGGUGAGUGGAAUUCCGAGUGUAGAGGUGAAAUUCGUAGAUAUUCGGAGGAACACCAGUGGCGAAGGCGGCUCACUGGCUCGACACUGACGCUGAGGUGCGAAAGCGUGGGGAGCAAACAGG